rnacentral:rRNA from 1 species
UGCAGUCGUGCGGAAGGCUCCUUCGGGAGUACUCGAGCGGCGAAAGGGAGAGUAACGCGUGGAUAUCUACCCUCGGACCUGGGAUAGCGGUGGGAAACUGCCGGUAAUACCAGAUAACGUCUCCGGACCAAAGGUGUGAUUCCGUCUGAGGAUGAGUCCACGUCCUAUUAGCUUGUUGGUGGGGUAAAGGCCUACCAAGGCUGUGAUGGGUACCGGGUGUGAGAGCAUGACCCGGCUCACUGGGACUGAGACACUGCCCAGAAACCUACGGGUGGCUGCAGUCGAGAAUCUUCGGCAAUGGGCGCAAGCCUGACCGAGCGACGCCGCGUGCGGGAUGAAGGCCUUCGGGUUGUAAACCGCUGUCCAAGGGAGGAAAUGCAUGGGGGCAAUCCUCCUGGUUGACCGAUCCUCAAAGAAGUACGGGCUAAUUCGUGCCAGCAGCCGCGGUAAUAC